rnacentral:rRNA from 1 species
UAGUGGCGAACGGGUGAGUAACACGUGGGCAAUCUGCCCUUCACUCUGGGACAAGCCCUGGAAACGGGGUCUAAUACCGGAUAAUACCUGCCUGGGCAUCUGGGUGGGUUGAAAGCUCCGGCGGUGAAGGAUGAGCCCGCGGCCUAUCAGCUUGUUGGUGAGGUAGUGGCUCACCAAGGCGACGACGGGUAGCCGGCCUGAGAGGGCGACCGGCCACACUGGGACUGAGACACGGCCCAGACUCCUACGGGAGGCAGCAGUGGGGAAUAUUGCACAAUGGGCGAAAGCCUGAUGCAGCGACGCCGCGUGAGGGAUGACGGCCUUCGGGUUGUAAACCUCUUUCAGCAGGGAAGAAGCGAGAGUGACGGUACCUGCAGAAGAAGCGCCGGCUAACUACGUGCCAGCAGCCGCGGUAAUACGUAGGGCGCAAGCGUUGUCCGGAAUUAUUGGGCGUAAAGAGCUCGUAGGCGGCUUGUCACGUCGGGUGUGAAAGCCCGGGGCUUAACCCCGGG